rnacentral:snRNA from 1 species
ACCGGAUCACCGUAAACAAAAGU